rnacentral:lncRNA from 1 species
UGAUCGAUUUUUCCUUUAUGCGAUUCCAAUUGUGGCUCACCAACUAUGUUACAGCCUUGUUGUGUAUCUGAAGCUUCUACUUCAUGAUUCUCACACAACCCAAGAGCUUCAUCAGAUUCAAUUCAGUUGGUGCCUGAUCGAAUCUAUCUUGAAUGGAACCACCUUCAGUGCUCUUCUCCAAUUGCUGCUCAACAUUGGUGGUCUUGCAGGCUUCUGCAUCAUCGUUGUGUUCACGAUUCUCACAUAAACCAGUUUGGGCUUGUGCCUGAUCAAGCUUCCCAUCAUCUUCAGGAUGCAUACUUCCCUCACUUGGGGUUUCAGAUUUCACAGAUGUUAGAUAAUCAAGCUUCUCUUGUAAACCCACGAGCUCCUUCGCAACCGACUUCCUAACCUCCCGUACGAAUGGAUGCAGACCCUGAUAAACAUCAUAUCAUAAAACUAGUAUAACAUAUCUUUUUAUUGAACAAAAUUUAAUUAACAAAAUGUCAAAUCGGGAGAAAUAUAUACCUGGAUGGUGUCUAGCUUUAGCAGAAGGCUCAUUAUGGUCUCCCCGAUAAUAACGGCUUUCUUACUAUCAAGGCAUGUUUCCAUGUCUUGAAUACGAUUUGUCAGGUCGGCAACCAUUUUUCUAACUUCAUAAAUUUGCCUUAGCUUCUUCAGCGGCUGUGAUUUCCUCACUUCAAAACCAUGAUACACAGACUGUAUGAUCAAAGCCGCUUCAUGUUCUGACAUAUUCUUCUUCUCCUCUCCUUUUUCCCUUGGUACAUCGCCAAGAUCAGCGAGAUUAGCUUGUUCGACCUUAUUGGCAGGAUCAGCAAGAUUAGCUGGUUCGACUUUAUUGACAUGAUCAGCAAGAUUAGCUCGUUCGACAUUAUCGGCAUGUUCAGCAAGAUUAGCUUGUUUGACCUUAUUGGCAUGGUCAACGGUUUUGAUAUCACCUUCACUUUGCUCCUCCUUGCUCUUCUUUAAGACCUGUGCCUGCUGCUGAGAAGAUUUUGGACUGUUAACCGGCGACCCGUUUGAUCUUUCUUUAUCACCAGGGCUAGGUGAGCGUGAAGUUUUCUUCUUUUUUGGCAGGGGGUCAAUACGAAGACAAACAGGUGGUAAUUUGGAUGCCUUUGGUGAAGUCUUGCCCCCAUUAUCAGUUUUCUCCACAGAAUCUGAAUUGGUAUUCAUACUUCUCGGGUUCUUCUUUUCCUCAUUUGUACUCGCUUGUUUCACCGGAAUCACCUUUUGGAUAGCAUGCUUACUACUAGCCUCCUCAUUUGUACUCGCUUGUUUCACCGGAAAAACCUUUCGGGCAGCAUGCUUACUACUAGUCUCACACUCACCCUCACCGCCUGAACCCUUUUUGGUUGCCUUUUCAUCUAACAAUCCCUUGUUAGCUACCAGAUCAAGAUUGUUCUCCUUGGUAUCCUUUCCCACUUGAUCAUUCUUAGAAGGCAACCAAAAUAUCUUAAACGGGAACCGAUUCCCAUCCCCAGUCCCACCCUGUUCAUCUUGGGCCAGUUCACCAUUCCCACCCCAUUUCGACGGUUCCGGAUGCUUUACUAAAACAGGAUCAUUAGAAUUCCUUCCCUUGUCAUUCGCUGAUGAUUCGGUGUACCCACGAGGAACCCACAUGAUCGGAUAAUCAGGGUGGUCUUUUGACGGUUCAAGAUGCUUUACCAAAACAGGUUCAUGAGAAUACUUAUUAUCCUUGUCACUUUCCUUGGAUUCAUUGUACCCAGGAGGAACCCACAUGAUCGGACGGUCUUUCAAAAACAAAGGAACCAGAGAGUCGCUUGUUUUGUUGUCAACCUGUGACUCCUCCUCCUCGUUAACUCUCGGUCCCUUGUCAUCCUCCUUGUGAUUGCAGGCAGAACAAGGAUGGUUGUUGUUAUUGUGGUAAUUGUAGCUGGG